rnacentral:rRNA from 1 species
UACGGAGGGGGCGAGCGUUAUUCGGAAUUAUUGGGCGUAAAGGGCGCGUAGGCGGCCUGCUAAGUCGGAUGUGAAAUCCCUCGGCUCAACCGAGGAACUGCAUCCGAUACUGGCGGGCUUGAAUCCGGGAGAGGGAUGUGGAAUUCCAGGUGUAGCGGUGAAAUGCGUAGAUAUCAGGAGGAACACCGGUGGCGAAGGCGGCUUUCUGGACAGAUACCGACGCUGAGGCACGAAAGCUAGGGGAGCAAACAGG